CCUACGGGAGGCGGCAGUGAGGAAUAUUGGUCAAUGGGCGCUAGCCUGACCCAGCCACGUAGCGUGAAGGAUGACUGCCCUAUGGGUUUUAACCUUCUUUUAUAUGGGAAUAAAGUGCUGCAUGUAUACUGGUUUGCAUGUGCCUUAUGAAUACGGAUCGGCUAACUCCGUGCCAGCAGCCGCGGUAAUACGGCGGUUCCGAGCGUUAUCCGGAUUUAUUGGGUUUAAAGGGAGCGUAGGCGGGUUGUUAAGUCAGUUGUGAAAGUUUGCGGCUCAAACGUAAGAUUGCAGUUGAUACUGGCAGUCUUGAGUACAGUAGAGGUAGGCGGAAUUCGUGGUGUAGCGGUGAAAUGCUUAGAUAUCACGAAGAACUCCGAUGGCGAAGGCAGCUUGCUGGACUGUAACUGACGCUGAUGCGCGAAAGCGUGGGGAGCAAACAGGAUUAGAUACCCGUGUAGUC
rnacentral:rRNA from 1 species